rnacentral:rRNA from 1 species
CCUACGGGCGGCUGCAGUGGGGAAUAUUGGACAAUGGGGGGAACCCUGAUCCAGCCAUGCCGCGUGUGUGAAGAAGGCCCUCGGGUUGUAAAGCACUUUCAGUGAGGAAGAACGCCUGGUGGUUAAUACCCAUCAGGAAAGACAUCACUCACAGAAGAAGCACCGGCUAACUCCGUGCCAGCAGCCGCGGUAAUACGGAGGGUGCGAGCGUUAAUCGGAAUUACUGGGCGUAAAGCGCGCGUAGGUGGCUUGAUAAGCCGGUUGUGAAAGCCCCGGGCUCAACCUGGGAACGGCAUCCGGAACUGUCAAGCUAGAGGGCAGGAGAGGAAGGUAGAAUUCCCGGUGUAGCGGUGAAAUGCGUAGAGAUCGGGAGGAAUACCAGUGGCGAAGGCGGCCUUCUGGACUGACACUGACACUGAGGUGCGAAAGCGUGGGUAGCAAACAGGAUUAGAUACCCGAGUAGUC